CUAAAGCCCAUUAAAUAAAAAAGCCCAAAACCCCAAAUAGCCAAAUAGGUUUUCACUAUAUAAACUUCUUUCACUACUUGUUGGAAACUAAAAACUAUUAUCUCGCAGCCGCAUUUUCUCACUAACAAACCCUGAGGAAUCAAUCACAAUGAGAGCUAAGUGGAAGAAGAAGAGAAUGAGGAGGUUGAAGAGGAAGCGUCGAAAGAUGAGACAAAGAUCCAAGUAGUCGUCUCUGUUUGUCCAUCUUCAAUCCGAUGUCGUUUUGAUUUAAUGUUUUCUUUCUAAUUAUCCUAUGUAGUUGUUGGAUUAUGUUAUGUUUUUUAAGUACUUUUAUUAUGAUAUUAUUAUUACUAUGAUAUGAUGAUGCAUUUUGAUA